rnacentral:rRNA from 1 species
AGCGAACGCUGGCGGCAGGCCUAACACAUGCAAGUCGAACGAACCUUUCGGGGUUAGUGGCGGACGGGUGGGGAACACGUGGGAACUUGCCUUUAGGUUCGGAAUAACUCAGGGAAACUUGUGCUAAUACCGAAUGUGCCCUUCCGGGGUAAGAUUAAUCGCCUUUAGAGCGGCCCGCGUCUGUUUAGCUAGUUGGUUGUGGUAAUGGCACACCAAGGCGACGAUCAGUAGCUGGUCUGAGAAGAUGCUCAGCCACAUUGGGACUGAGACACGGCCCAAAAUCCUACGGGAGGGAGGAGUGGGGAAUCUUGCGCAAUGAGCGAAAGCCUGACGAAGCCAUGCCGGGUGAAUGAUGAAGGUCUUAGGAUUGUAAAAUUCUUUCACCGGGGACGAUAAUGACGGUACCCGGAGAAGAAGCCCCGGCUAACUUCGUG